CCCACAAAAUCCAACUGAGUGAAAGGAGUCGUGUAUGAUUUAAAAAUGCCAGUGGGAUUUGUUUGUUAUUUUGUUAUAUUCAUUGGUGAACCCUGGUGGGUAGAACCUCCUGCGUCACACCCGUGUCUGUCAAUCAGCGUGCAACAGUGGAAGAAGGGAGAGGUCGGAUUAUUAUUUUGUUUACCUCCAUCGUCACGUAGGUCGCAGGGGCGUGCUGGAGCCUAUCCCAGCUAUCUUCGGGCGAGACCCUGAACUGGCCAAUCGCAGGGCACGUAGAAACAAACAACCAUUCGCCCUAUACAUGCAAACGACACACAGGCGAAGUUGGAUUUGAACCUGGGUCCUCAGAACUGUGAGGCAGAUGUUCCAACCAGUCGUCCACAUUUCCACCAUGUUUUCUUUCUGUUGUUUUUUUUGUUAAAUAUGUUUGAAGAUAAGUGCUGAAAACAAAGACAACAACUGAAUUGUUGAGAUAUAGCUUAAGCAUCUUUUUCACCGUUUGAAUUUUCCUGAUUUUAUGGUUGGAACUAAAACAUAGCCCCGUGCGUAUACUUUCUAGCGCGAGUUCCCUCCCCCACUAUAUAAAGACAAAGUGACGUCAUUUCGUUUGGCUGCUCAGUUGAGUGUUAGCUGUGCUUAGCUUUCAUAACAAGCCCCAUUUACCACUCCAGCGUACAGUUACCAAGCUAACCAUGGCUACACCAAGAAAACGCAUCUUCGCUGGAUGCCUCAAUUUACAGAAAAGCUUGGUGCUGUUUUUUAAGCUCCCAAAAAAUGACGAAAUAAAAAAGCGCUGGAUUGACUUUUUAAAGAGACACGCGAAUGGCAACCUUAACAUCAACACCACCAGUCAACACUGCAGUGCGCAUUUUACAAUGGAUAAUUUUGAAACUUUCACCAGAGACAGCAUGGCUUAGUGGGUAACUUGAUACUAGUGAAUGGGGCAGUGCAGACUGUCUAACUUCCUGGGCUUCCUCCUACCGUCCCCGCUGUCGUCAGGUGCUGUGUUCGGCUGUGACAUUAUGCCACCAACAACGAGGUGUCUAGUGUGUCAGCUCUUGUUGAUUUCCGCAGGGGAAGUUGCCUCAGUGCUAUCCUCAGACAAAGCCCUGACCCAGGGGUUAAGGAAUGUGAACCCAGUGCUGUGACGAGAUCAAGACUUUCCCUCAGGGUGGACAAUGCUGAACACCUCAACAAACGCCCUAAUGAGCUCACAUGCUCGUGUGUUCCUCAUUUCACACCUUUUAAUUUACGUAUCUUACAAUCCUGUCCACGUUUAUGAAAAAUCUUGAAUAAAA